rnacentral:rRNA from 1 species
AUGGCUCAGAACGAACGCUGGCGGCGUGCCUAACACAUGCAAGUCGAGCGCGAAUGGGGAAACCCUAGUAGAGCGGCGCACGGGUGCGUAACACGUGGAUAAUCUGCCUGGAUGCCUGGGAUAACCAGUCGAAAGAUUGGCUAAUACCGGAUAAGCCCACGGCCUCUUCGGAGACUGAGGGAAAAGGUGGCCUCUGUAUACAAGCUAUCACAACCAGAUGAGUCCGCGGCCCAUCAGCUAGUUGGCGGGGUAAUGGCCCACCAAGGCAACGACGGGUAGCUGGUCUGAGAGGACGAUCAGCCACACUGGAACUGAGACACGGUCCAGACUCCUACGGGAGGCAGCAGUGGGGAAUUUUGCGCAAUGGGCGAAAGCCUGACGCAGCAACGCCGCGUGUGUGAUGAAGGUCUUUGGAUUGUAAAGCACUUUCGACCGGGACGAAAACCCGGAGGCUAACAUCCUCCGGCUUGACGGUACCGGGAGAAGAAGCACCGGCUAACUCUGUGCCAGCAGCCGCGGUAAUACAGAGGGUGCAAGCGUUGUUCGGAAUUAUUGGGCGUAAAGCGCGUGUAGGCGGCUUUGCAAGUCGGGUGUGAAAGCCCUCAGCUCAACUGAGGAAGUGCGCCCGAAACUGCAGAGCUUGAGUGCCGGAGAGGGUGGCGGAAUUCCCCAAGUAGAGGUGAAAUUCGUAGAUAUGGGGAGGAACACCGGUGGCGAAGGCGGCCACCUGGACGGUAACUGACGCUGAGACGCGAAAGCGUGGGUAGCAAACAGGAUUAGAUACCCUGGUAGUCCACGCCGUAAACGAUGAGAACUAGGUGUCGUGGGAGUUGACCCCCGCGGUGCCGUAGCUAACGCAUUAAGUUCUCCGCCUGGGAAGUA